rnacentral:rRNA from 1 species
ACGCUCGACACCUACUGGAGGCAGCAGUGGGGAAUAUUGCACAAUGGGGGAAACCCUGAUGCAGCAACGCCGCGUGAAGGAAGACGGUUUUCGGAUUGUAAACUUCUGUUCUUAGUGAAGAUAGUGACGGUAGCUAAGGAGCAAGCCACGGCUAACUACGUGCUAGCAGCCGNGGUAAUCUGAGGCGGGCUGGCAAGGC